AUAUAUACACAGUAUAUAUAUAUAUAUAUAUAUAUAUAUAUAUUUCAAUUGCACAUCUGUUUAUCGCAAAUCAUACCAGCAACAAAGAUGAGUUUUAGAAGUAUCGAGCCAGGUUGCAAGAGUGAUCAUAUUGCCAAAUGAAGAACAAAUAUCUUAUUGGAGUCGAAAACGAAAUCCUGUUGCGUGUCCGGAUGUACAGUUCAUGUAAGAUAAAUCUGUGGUUUUGCUAAAGUUUAGCCUUGUGUCCGUAGAUGUGGGCCUUUUAAGAAGCCUAGAAAGAGAAUCAUCAACAUAGAUACCUACUCGCACACCAUGGGACGU